rnacentral:misc_RNA from 1 species
UUGAACUUUGAGAGAAGAAAGGAAGACGGAAUGUGUCUAUUGUCGCUGGCUUGCUUUGCAUGUGCACAUCUUCACUAUCCGUCCACCUUUCUCUCAUUCAUUCAUUUACACCUGUGCACCCGUUGUAGCUUCUCUCGAUAGAGAAUCUAUGUUUUUUCCUAUCACAUUCAUCGCAUGUCUAUAGAAGAAUGUUAUCAAAGCCUGUCGAUCAGGCUUUGUCCUGGUCGCUUGCUUAAUAAAAUCAUAUA